CAGAGGAGAGGUAACGGGGAAGGGGGAGGGGGAAGGAAGAAGAAGAAGAAGAGGAGAGGAAAGAAAAGAAAAGGAAAAAAAAAAAAGAGAAAAAGAAAAGGAAAGAAAAAGAUAAAAAGAAAGAAAAAAAACAAAAGGAAAAAAAAAGUUUUUCAUCUUAUAAAAACUUCUACAAAAUUUUUCACAUUCCAAAAAUUUUUACAAAAAAGUUUUUCACCUUACAAAAACUUCUACAAAAUUGUUCCAAAAACUUUUACAGUACAUUACAGUAAAGUUUUAGAUAAACUCUCAAAAAAACUCAGAUUUCAAACAGGUUGUGUGCAACGAGUUUUUUGGAAUGCAGAUUCCGGUCAUGAAACCAGAAUAACAUGUUGUACAACCUUUAUUUUACUUUCGGCCAAAAAUAGUACCAUAGGUCCCGCUGUCGCUUUUGAGAAAUCACCUCACAGGACAAUUUCUUGUCCCUUGCCAGUCUGUGUUGUCCUUUUCUUGAUCACCAGGGAAUCAAUGUCCCGCUUCAUUUCAGCUUUUCUUUUCAAUGGCGAAAUGCACUGGACAUUGAAUAAUAUUUGUCAGGAAUGCUCAUUUACCACACUUUCUAUGUCCAAUAAUUCUUUCCUGCCUGAUAAAAGUCAUUGACAGUGUGCAUUUGACAAUUCAGCUAAUUCAAUAAUUGGAGACAUCAUGCAAAUUUUUUUUCCACCACUCAAUCCUGAUCUAAGGGAUGGUUGUGUCGCGACAAUAUAUCCAUAUUGGCCUAGUGCUGGCAGACCUCUGGUCCAUCAGAAGGGCUCAGUGCAGUGUUUUGCCACACAUUUGCUCUCUGGUCCAUGUAUUGCUCAGUUUCCAUUGUCUUCUUUCAGAUUACAUUCUAAUUUCUUUGCUCGUAGAAUUUCUGUAUAUUCUGUGGGACAACAACGAACUUUGAGCACAGAGUCUACAUCAAAAGGAGUCGACAGGCAGUGAAGCUUCAUCCAGAACUGGACUGACUACUAAGUACUAAGCCCGAUAUCAUUUGACCGUAAGCUUCAUUUUUCUUCAAUUCCUUUUUCAUUACCAAAUAUUGCAAAUUCUAUUGAUUUCUGUUAAAAUUUGUCAAAUAGGGUAAUUACAGCCACUAUUUUUAGCAAAAGAAGGAAAUUUAUUACGAUCAUUGAUAAAGUUUUACAAGGGGAAAACCUCAAUUAAAUCAAGAACUAAUAUUGAACUAAGGACAAAAAAUAAAAAAGGCAUUUCUGGUUAAGCGAACAUGUAGAAAAGCCCCAGUGCUUUCGAAACAUAUAAUCCAACAUCUCAUGGUUCGAACGAAACUGAAAAAUCAAUGGAAAUCGUCAAAAUUAAUGUGUUUAAAGCACACGCACUUGUUUUGCAACUCGUUGUACCUGAAAACAGUUUUUUAUAAUCAAUUUUGGUUGAUAUACCUAUUCUAUCCCUUACAGAAAAGCAUCCUAUAGUUAAGCCAACCUACAUAAAAAAAAAAAAAAAAAUCAUCUAUAAUUUCAAAACAUAAACACUUUCAGAAAAAUAUAUUGAAAAGGGAGUAAAGUUUCUUGAGAAAAAUCAACCACUAGUAUUAUACACACUACUUUUAAGGUAUUGAAAAAAUUUAAAAUUUGGUUUUUUCCAAUAAUAAUAUUAUUUUAGAGGGUCUGUUUUUAAGAAUUUAAAGUAAGAAUUUCAAUAUUUUUCUUUGUAUAAAGUGAAGGAAAAUUUUGCAAAAUAGUUGCUUAUAUCUUUCUCAAUAUCUCGAGUGGGCAAUAGAACUAGACCCUAUGAUACCAGUACAAGAUUUGUGAGUGUUUAGAAAAAAUGAAAGUAAAAAUUGUUGAGAUCAAAAAAGCCAUCUAAAGGGCUGUUGUAUUUUACGUGUGCAAUGAAUGAUUGUGAGCAUUUUUUGUGAUCUUCAUGUUAUCCCAUAUACAGAUAUUAACUAAAUCAGAACGACUAUUUUAUGUAUGAAAGGGAUGAAAAUUAUAUUUUUUGAAAUCACAGGGAGCUUUUCUACAUUUUAUCCUUAUAUAGAUUAGGAUAUUUUUGUCAUUUCAUCAACCCACAUUAGUUUUAAUGAUUUUCAUUGCCUUUUUAGUUUAAAUUAUUAGAUUGUAUAUUUUGAAAUCACGGAAACUUUCCUAUAUAUUCGCUUGAUUAUAGGUGACUCUUUUGUUUUGUACCCUUGAACUAAUGAGCCAAUUUCCGAUUAUCUUUAAUCCUUCCCUACGUUCUAAUCAUCUUGAACGUGGUGUGGUUAUGUUUAAUAGUGUAAACUUUAAAUAAAUUGGAGUUGAAAUUGAUGUAAUGCAAAUCUGUAUCCACUUUCAACUUUGGUUUUCAAACUCUUGAUUCUUGGAAUGAAUUGAAUUUCGAUUCAUGUGAGAAACUUGUUUUUUCUCAGGUGAUAUGAUGACUGUUAUUGGACUUAUACAUGAUUGCAAAAAGUUAAAACUAAUAAUUAUGAUUAUCACGAAAAGGAGGAAAAAAAAGUUACUGUUAACUGUGUAGUUCUUAUAUUUUUCACCAAUUCUCUUCUGUUUUCAAUUUCUUCAAAAGUUUUGUGUUGACCACUCUCAUUUUUUAACGUUUCAAUUGGUGUUUAGUUCAUUUAACAGGUUUUAUAUUGAGUUUAAAAUUCAUAAAAAAAAUCUAUAUCAAUAAAGAAAAUAUAAAAAAUAUGCCAAAAGAAUAUGUGAGAGAAAAAAAAAACUUCCCUAAUUUUUUUGUUUCCUUUUUUUUUUUUUGUCUGAAAGUUCAUAUUCAUUUAAACAGAGACUCAAAAUGCUAUCCUAUGCUUAUGUAUUAAUUGGACCAAAAAAAAUCUUCAAAAGUCCUAGGGCCGGAAGGGGUAGCUUCCCCCAAUCCCCGGGGCCCAAAACCCCAACUUUGCCUAAUCCCCUUUGACCCCUAAAAAGUAUUGGUAGUUUCCUAUUACAGUCAUUGUUUUGCCUCCCCCCACCCCUCAAAUUAGAAUUUUAGAAAAAUAGUAUUGCCUCCCCUUCACUUAAACUUUCUGCCUUGUGGAAAAUAUUAACUUCUCUAAAUAUUUUUAGAAUAUUAGUAAAUCAAUUGAUCUACAAAAUUUAAUUUCAUAUUAAAAGCUUUAUAUUACAUAUUUUUUUCUUAGAAUUUUGUUUAUUGUCUCCAAAUAUAUCCCAUUAUUAAACAUGUAUUACAAUUAACUUAUUGUUCAUUGAGUACUUUAAAGUAAAACUUUGCGAUAUGUUCACAUUGAUAGAUUUUUUUUCCAUAUGUAGGGUGAUAAGAAAUAGAAUAUAGAAACAUGAGCUACAAUAUAAAUUUGACAUACUAACACAUUUUUUUAAUUCAAUACUGAGUAUACAACUUCUUUACUAUGUUUUGUAAACUUGAUUUUAUUGGUGUUUUCUUAUAAUGAUCUUCAUAAUGAAGAACUUGUCAGACAACUUUGGUUUAGAAUAAUUUUUUUUUUUAAAUUGCAAGUAGAUAUCAAGUUCAAAUCAUUAAACCAAAGAAAUGGAAAAGAAAAAUUAAUUUGUAGGUCCCACACUAUUCCAGAUUUUUAGAAUUUUUUAGAAUUUGAUUUUUUUUUCAUUUCUUUCUUUUUUUUUUGGAAUUAAAUGGACUGAUAAUUGGAGCAAAGUCAUGAAGCAAAGGUUGAGUACAAUCAUUGAGAAUUUCUCAAUGGAUGAACCAGCGUCCAUUCUCUUUUGUCCCUGCAUUUCACUUUCUUAAGCGGGGUACUAAUUUCUUUCUCACAUCCAAGAAUAUAUAUAUUUCCCACACAAUUCUGGAUUAAUCACAUCAAAGGACAAUUUCUUGUCGCUGAUCUUUCUAUUUAUUACCCACGCAAUUGCUCCGUUAUCUUCUCAUCAUUUCAGAUUACAUUCAAAUUUCAUAUUGUUUUCUGAUGACUUUGUUUUCUCAUCAAAGGACUUUCUUUGAUCACAGACUCGAUCCCAAACCUUUUCUCCAACUUCAUUCCUCACCAUUCUUCAUUACCACCAAUUCAACAAAGGAGCAGAAGAGAUAGAGAAGCUUUCAUCAACUGCCGGUCUGACUUGUGAGCCCGAAAUCAUUCGAAGCAAACUUGUUUUGUCUGCUACCGUAAGUUUCAUUUUCAUUUUUCAGUUUUGCAAUUGCAUGGCGUUUUGUUAAAUUCGUGUCAUAUGGUCUUAGCAAAAUAUUAUUGUUCUUUAUUAUUACUGUUAUUAUUAUUAAUAUUCUUUUUAUAGACUCUGCAAUUAGUUUCCAGUUUCCAUUCAAGUUUGCAAGUGAAGGUUUGAGGUUGAGGAUGAGGUGAUCUAAACAAUUUUAGUUUGAAGUUUGGCGUCAAAAUUAAAAUAUUUUGCCAACUUAUUUUAAUUGAUUGUCUGUCAAGUUUUUAAUUUUUGAAAAGAAAAAAAAAAGAAGAGAUUUUCGUUUCCAUUUCCUUUUCAAAAUUUGUCUUCUUAUUAGUUAAUUUUCAUAAUUAAAAAAGAAAAAGAGAAGCAAAGGAUUUCCUUUCCAAAAUCUACAAAUCAAACAGGGGAAAAAGUAUUUUGCAGAGAUCAUUUUCCUCACUACCUCCUUUUCAAAAUUCAUCUUCUUAUUAGUUAAUUUUCAUUUAAAAGAAAAAAAAAAAAGAAAAGCAAAGGAUUCCCUUUUCAAAAUCCACAAACCAAAUAGGACCAAAAAAAAGAAAAAAACUUUUGUAAAGAUCAUUUUCUUUACUACCUUUCGUGCAUAACCAAACAAGAUGAGGAAUUUAACAUUUCCAAAGGAAUUUACUUUUCUUUUCUUCCUUUUCCUUUUCCUUGCGAAAUUUGUAGAACAAAUAGGGCCUUCAUACUAGGAACCUUCCGCCUCCCCCCUCCCCUUCCAAAAACCAAAACCAAAAAAAUCUUGUUAUGGUGAUGUUAAUGCAUUUAUUAGUGUAAAUCUUAGAUCAAAUGGAGUUAAAAUUGUUAAAAAUGAGUUUGAUUUUUAAACUUUUGAUCCCGUGCCCAUAAGAUUUGUAGAAAGAGGAUAAUUUUGACUUUAUAUGGAGAUUGAUUUGAGUUCUGAUCUUCCGUUUCAAAACCACUAGUCAAAUUAUAAACUUCCAAAAAUGUCGAUAAUCAACUUUUUUUUAAUACACAAUCAACCUAAAAUAGUCUAUGUUUUAAACUUCAAAUGACAUAAACAAGGGCAGCGGAUCGUCCCAAAGUCUAAAAAUUUAUGUUACUUGUCCCUGAAAUUCUGAAAGAUUUUCAUGAGGUUAGGGAUGACUUUUAAAAUUCUUUCCGCUGUUAGAUUCAUGUUGGAAUCCUGGAUCUGACAUUUUUAAGGUGGGAAGGACGCCGGUAUGAAAGAGAGGGUUAAAAAAAUUUUAAAAGAAAAUAAAAAGAGUAAAACUUGGCCCCACAAAAAAUUUACUCAUUGACCCCAAAUUACGGGUCUUGGAUUCUUAUCCUAACCUGACUGGCCAAGACUUCCUGACCAGGAUACAAUUGGAUUUGUUUGGAUAGAGGAUUAUUUGUCAAAAUUUAUUUACUUAUAUCAUUAUUAUAAUUUCUAACAUAUUUUUUUAUCUUUUCAAUUAUCUUUUUAUCUCACAUACAUCGCAUCACAAAAAGUGCUACAGUAACAAUAUCUCAAAUAAUUUAUAAUCCAAACAGAGUCCCCAUAGUCAAAAGCAGAAUUUCUAGGCUUUGGCUGCUUUCACACGAAUGCUCAGCCUACGCAGAUGUAGAGUCACACAAAGGUUUAUGAUACUUUCACAUUCUUUUCAACAUUUUAAACACUUUUUCAUACUUUUAGAUCAAACAUGUAUAAUUUGAUAAAAUAUACAUAAUAAAAGUGGGCAAGGAGUUUUUCAGAAUGCAUAUUCCGGUCAUGAAACCAGAAUGACAUGUUGUACAACCUUUAUUUUACUUUCGGCCAAAAAUUUGCAUAAAGAAAAUAAAGCACCUUUCUUGCCCUUUUCUUGAAAUAGUACCAUAGGUCUCGCAGUCACUUUUGAGUAAUCACCUCACAGGACAAUUUCUUCACUUGUCAGUCUGUCUUUUCUUUUCUCAGAGAGGGAUUAUCUUUUUCGACUGUAAGUCGAAGAUUUAAAUUUCAUCUACUUUAAAAAAAAUUUAAAAGAGUUGUCAAAA
rnacentral:lncRNA from 1 species